rnacentral:rRNA from 1 species
AUUGAACGCUGGCGGCAGGCCUAACACAUGCAAGUCGAACGAGUGGCGGACGGGUGAGUAAUGUCUGGGAAACUGCCCGAUGGCGGGGGAUAACUACUGGAAACGGUAGCUAAUACCGCAUACCAUCAGAUGUGCCCAGAUGGGAUUAGCUCGUUGGUGGGGUAACGGCUCACCUAGGCGACGAUCCAUAGCUGGUCUGAGAGGAUGACAAGCAACACUGGAACUGAGACACGGUCCAGACUCCUACGGGAGGCAGCAGUGGGGAAUAUUGCACAAUGGGCGCAAGCCUGAUGCAGCCAUGCCGCGUGUAUGAAGAAGGCCUUCGGGUUGGAAAGUACUUUCAGCGGGGAGGCGUUACUCGCAGAAGAAGCACCGGCUAACUCCGUGCCAGCAGCCGCGGUAAUUC